rnacentral:tRNA from 2 species
GGUGCCAUGGCUUAGUUGGUUAAAGCACCUGUCUAGUAAACAGGAGAUCCUGGGUUCAAAUCCCAGUGGUGCCU